rnacentral:rRNA from 1 species
GGGUUUGAUCCUGGCUCAGGAUGAACGCUGGCGGUAUGCUUAACACAUGCAAGUCGAACGAAAGUUUUUAACUUUAGUGGCGAACGGGUGCGUAAUACGUGAGAAUCUGCCCUUAGGAGGAGAAUAACUUCUGGAAACGGUUGCUAAGUCUCCAUAUGCCGAGAGGUGAAAUAGUUUACACUGCCUAGGGAUGAGCUCACGCCUGAUUAGCUUGUUGGUAAGGUAAUGGCUUACCAAGGCCACGAUCAGUAGCUGGUUUGAGAGAACGAUCAGCCACACUGGGACUGAGACACGGCCCAGACUCCUCCGGGAGGCAGCAGUGAGGAAUUUUCCGCAAUGGGCGAAAGCCUGACGGAGCAAUACCGCGUGAGGGAUGAAGGAUUUUGGUCUGUAAACCUCUUUUCUCAAGAAAGAAGUUCUGACGGUACUUGAGGAAUAAGCAUCGGCUAACUCCGUGCCAGCAGCCGCGGUAAUACGGGGGAUGCAAGCGUUAUCCGGAAUCAUUGGGCGUAAAGCGCCUGUAGGUUGUUUAAUAAGUCUGUUGUUAAAGACUGGGGCUUAACCCCAGGAAAGCAAUGGAAACUACUAGACUUGAGUAUGAUAGGGGUAGAGGGAAUUUCUAGUGUAGCGGUGAAAUGCGUAGAUAUUAGGAAGAACACCGGUGGCGAAGGCGCUCUACUGGAUCAUUACUGACACUCAGAGGCGAAAGCUAGGG